CAAAUCCAUUUGGUAAUGUGCUGGAGAUGGGAAGGCAAAAGAGGAAGAUAGCCUAGGCUUAGAACCUGCAAAAUGGCACUUUCCCCUCCAUCUGCAGCUAUUUGUGAAGGUUUCUAAAAUCCCUUCAUUGUAUCUUACUUUUAAGUUUGUUGGAUCUCUUUCAAAAACUGUUCUAUUGUUGAGCUUACAUUCUAGAACAUGAAAAAAAAAAAAAAACCAGAGCCAUUUCAGAACACAGGAAAGGGCAGUUCUAUUUCUAAAAAUACUUUCUAAGCACACCCACUUUUUUCUCUUUUUGUGGUUCUUUAGUAGCCCUCAAACUCUUUUUAAACAUCCUUGAACUGGUUGGGAAAAAAGCAAGUAAAAGUCUUAAUGUGGAACACUGGUGGCUCAUACCUGUAAUCUUAGCUACUCAGGGGGUUGAGAACUGAGAAUCAAGGUUCAAAGCCAGCCCGGGCAGGAAAAUCUAUAAGAUUAACAACCAAAAUACCUGAAGUGGAACUCAGAUGUUAAGAGUGCUACAAGACAGCCCAGGGACAGUGCCCAGCUCCUGAGUUCAAGCCCCAGGAUCAGCACCAAGAAAUAAAACAAAAACAAAAAACAAGGACAGGACUGAGAAUGCAGUUCAGUGCUUCAUUAGCAAGCUCAAGGACUUGGGCUCAAUCCCCAGCACUGUAACUAAACAUAUAAGCAAAAUUGUAGAAAUGGGUCCAUUUAUUGUAGAUGCUAACUUCCAUAGAGAAUUCAGUAACUAUUCUGAAUUUAUUUCUACUCCAAAUUAUUGAAAUUUUAUUUAAAAAGUAAAAUAUGACAAGGAGAGUUAAUAAAAAGAAGUUAGUGGUGAUUCUAAAACCAAUACUUACCUAAGUGGGAAAGCUCUCCAAGGCAAUACUGAAACUUAACCUUUAAAAAUACUUGCCAUGUGCCAGGGGCUCACCUCUGUAAUCCUAGCUACUUAGAAGUCUGAAACCUAAGAUCUGAAGAUUGAGGCUCAAAAUUAGCCCAGGCAGAAAAGUCCUUAAGACCCUUA